rnacentral:rRNA from 1 species
CGUUACUGAUAAUAACUGGAUAAGUUAGUAUAAUCGCAUGAUAUGCAAAUGAAAGCUACGGCACUAAAGGAGAGCUUUGCGUCCUAUUAGCUAGUUGGUAAGGUAAGAGCUUACCAAGGCGAUGAUAGGUAGCCGGCCUGAGAGGGUGGACGGCCACAAGGGGACUGAGAUACGGCCCUUACUCCUACGGGAGGCAGCAGCC